AUGGUGUAUGUUGUGCUAUUGUGCAUUUGCACUGUAUCAAUGUCAAAAGCAAUUGUCGCUGAACAACUUAACGUAUGAACAAAGAGUGCAAAAAAUGUGACAUACUUGUGUGUAUUUUUUUUUGUCUCAUCUGCGACAUCUUGGGUGUUGCACAUAGCCUACUUAGGCAAAUCAUUUUUUUUGGGUGCUGAGCCUGAAAAGCCAUUUUAGGGACUACAUGGCACAUUUAGAGGCAGCAAUAUUGAAAGGUUAGAGGGUGAUUAUCCCUUCCAUGUCUUGAGUAGACAGCAUUUUUAAAUACUCGUCAAACUUGAUUUAGUGGAUGUUAUGUAGCAAUAAUUACUUAAACUUAAGUUGUCUACUUGCUAUCAGCUUUUUAGCAUAUCAAUGAGUCCACUUUCUGGUUUCACCUAGGUCACUUAAGUCAAUGUCAUUACUGGAUACAAUUGUCUGGGGCAGGUAUAAACAACAUACAUGACUUGAGUAGCGGAGCUAAUUGUCUCUACCAAUGAACUAUUUCGCGGUUUGUGCUGGACCUGCAUUCAAAAGUAUCCACUGGACCUGACCUCCCCCACUGGACUUGACCUCCCCCUAGAGGUGUAAUUGUACAAGCAAGUUUAAUCAUUGAGACUACAUAAUCCACAAUCUUUCCUGUGAUUAAUUGACGGAGAUAUGCAUAAACACACUUUAAAUCAUUCUUGCUGGAUUCUACGAGACACCCUAGAGUGAAAACUUACCCAUAGAUAAAGUCACACUUUGUACUUUGUAUGGAAUGUAAUAGGUAGAGAUACAGAAAAGCGAAGUUUAUCUCAGCCCAAUGUAUGUCCGUGCUUAGCAGACUCUUAUUUUUUUAAGCAAUACUAAAUGAGACGAAAACAUGGUGGCAGGAAGCGACCGUCUCCUCUCACCUUUUGCGGGACUACAAAUAAAUGUUAAAUAAGUAAAAAAAUAAGUUAUUUGUUAAGCAGCAGACGGAACAUUUUUGUUCGGCUGGAGAAAGGAGUCUGAGCAAUCAGGAAGUGUCAUGUUGUAAAGUAGGUGACACAGGCAGCGAUGGAGAGCAGGGAAACGAGGACCACCAUGCAGGCCGCAAUGACCAAGUUCCUCCUCUUCUCCUUCUCAGCCUGCUGACGCUCCCACCACUCCAGGUCACUGAACUGACAACGCUCCCCCACGUAGCCUGCUACACAACUGCAACAGCAAGGGGAUGAACCACCACGAUGGAUGCUGGUUGGACCAUGUUGCCAUGGAUAAUUUGCAGUUUUCUCCCAGUCCGCUUGUGCACGCUCCGCAGCUGCUGGUGCUCCUGGUCAGAUAUCCACAACCUGUCUUCAAAUACUGCCAGGUCAAAAGGCCGACCUGGAGGCAUCAGAAUGGAGGGAAAGAAGAUUUUGAGUUCACCAAGUGUUUUCAAGGACCUGUCGUUCUGAACCAUCCAGAGCAGCAGUCUCCACCAGGCCCCUCCUCUGGUCGCACCAGAACAGACGAUCCUCUGUGAAAUCAAUGGUCAGGCCGCUUGGUGACACAAGGUUGGUGCUAGCAAUUACAGCACGGUCUUUCCCUUCCAAAGAGGCGCUUUCCACGACAGGAACGGCCCCUAUAUCAGUCCAGAACACUUUCCUCAAAAAGUAAAAAG